GUGCAGCACACUGGACUCUGAAUCCAGUAGUCUGAGUUCAAAUCUCAG
rnacentral:tRNA from 1 species